GACGAACGCUGGCGGUGUGCUUAACACAUGCAAGUGGAGCGACGAACCAGGGCUUGCCCUGGGGCAGAGCCGCGAACGGGUGAGUAACACGUGGGUAACCUACCCCGAUGACUGGGACAACCCGAGGAAACUCGGGCUAAUACCGGAUGUGCUCCUCCCUCAUCAGAGGGUUGAGCAAAGGAAGCUUCGGCCUCCGCGUCGGGAGGGGCCCGCGGCCCAUUAGCUUGUUGGUGGGGUAACGGCCUACCAAGGCUGCGAUGGGUAGCUGGUCUGAGAGGACGAUCAGCCACACUGGGACUGAGACACGGCCCAGACUCCUACGGGAGGCAGCAGUGGGGAAUCUUGCGCAAUGCGCGACAGCGUGACGCAGCAACACCGCGUGGGGGAAGAAGGCCUUCGGGUUGUAAACCCCUUUCAGGAGGGACGAAGGCCGGCCGGUGAACAGCCGUGCCGGCUGACGGUACCUCCACAAGAAGCCCCGGCUAACUACGUG
rnacentral:rRNA from 1 species